AGCAUAUGCUGCAUCGCCCCCGCCGCUUGGCCUUGCUCAGCACCGGCGCAGCCCACCCCGCCGCCUGACCUCGCCUCGCACCGGAGGCGACCACCACCAUCCUCGCCGCUCCCUCCCCUCCCCUCCCCAAGCCCAAUCUAGAUGUCUAACCUGUCCCCUCCCAUCUCUGAGCAUAGCAUGCUCCGUCGGCGGCGGCGGCAGCGGCGGCUCCUUCUGGCCGGAUUGAGGCGCGGAGACCCAUGCUCCUCUCAUCUGGUUGGAUCGCCUCCUCCGGUAGGAUCUCCUCUCCGAGCUGGAUGUUGAGCACGAGAUCCCUGCUCUAUGGAUCGCCUCCCCUCAUACGGUCACCCCGACGCGGCGACCCUGCAUCCUGAGACCACCAACGCCGCCUCCUUUGAUCACGGGAAGGCACCUAGAUGCACGUCAUGGAUGAGGUCGGGGCAACCUCCCCCACAGGCCAGUUUAUAUCAAAUUAAGCUUUCUAUUUUCUUCGAAUCUUUAGUUUUGCAGAUUAGUUUUGUCGAUGACGGCAAGGUGUUUGAUGGAAAGAUAUUUUAUAUGUCCACAAGGCAUUUGAUGACAAUCCAAACAGGUAUUUGAUUAUUCUCAUAUGACUCUCAAUGUUAUGACUAGAUUAGUUCAUCUAACUAAUCAUGUUCAGGUUUUUUAGGCACUGUAUGUUAUCCCUAACCAAUUGCAGAGGUUGCAGUACAAACAUGUAGGAUACAGAUGCAUUCUAUAGUGUUCUUCAUGAUGGCUGUACUGACGGACAUGAUUGCCCUUGUCUAAAUACUAAGAUCCAACUUUACAUGCAGUCGUACCCAUGCCAAUUUGUUGGAGCAGAGAUCAUCUGACUUAACUGAGUCUAAGUCAGAGGGAUGUCCAUCCAUGCCGCAUCGGACGACAAUGAAAUCUAGAGAGGCUCUAUGGCUCAGGUCGCCACGAAUCCAGCGGCCCAUCCGGCACCUUGUGACACAAGUGAAGGAAACAACAUGCAAGGUGUACAGAAACAGCGUGGGAUCGACCAGAACGAUACCGCCUGGGCCGGAUGGUACGCGUUGCUCUGCUCGUGACCUCAUAAGAAGCAACUGAGAUGGAAUUAUGGAAGAAGAGGCUAACACCACACACAUCCAGAUUCCAUGGCGUGAUUGGCCCACUUGAACACAAACCACAGGACGUCAACAACACAGGGCCUAUGGAACCUUGUCCUCUGGUCCAACCAUUGCUUCUCCUCGUGACACCUGUGGUCUACGGUGACAGGGCCUUGGCUGGCGGCUAAUGCCACGAGGCCUCGGAGCCGGACUUGUGCUCCUCCUCUUGGGAAGUCGUCGCCAGUGCGGUGGCCCUGAAGCCGGUUGGACGCGUCUUGUGUGCGCUAGGGCAGUGGCAUCGCAGAGGAUGAAACCAACACUGGUUGAGAGCGGCCUCGAUGGUGUGGUGUAGCUGACCACGACCGUGGGGAUGGGCGUGCCGGACGCGUGAAUGGAAACGAGCUGGAGCGCCACUUUCCCUCUCCCUUCCAUUGGACUGGGUUGCAUCAUGCUUUUGGGCCGAUCCUGCUCUGUGUUUCCACGGGCUCCACCUGCUGUCGUGGAUGCGCAAAGAAUGGGAUACACACAUCCAAUAAAUUUCGCUAGGCGCUUGGUACUACAACUUCUACAUCUCGACGACUUUGGACAAUAAAGCGACGAUGCUCUACCUGGGCGUGGUCUAACUCUACCUCGGCCAGGUGUGGUGCCACGAGGAAGCACCCAAGGUACAUGUGUGUGUGUGCGCGCGCGCAAAUAUAGAUUAACUACAGAUAAGUACUUCAGUCCCAUCAGUCGCCACCAAGUAAAUCAGCAGCAGCCAGCAGUACAAGAAUUCGGUUUGACAUUUGAUUUAUGCUGGGUAAUUUGAGGUGUGCCUGUUGGUUAUGCCAUUUAUCUUUUUUCUGUCAAGCAAUUGUUUUCUAUUGCUGUGAUAGGCCUGAAUCAGUUUUUGUUUUUUGUAUACACCGAGAUGAAGCUGAAAGUUAUGACGAUCAGAUCAAAUACCAAAAGUUGUAACUCGGAUAUACCAUGAUAUUUUGAAUGGUGUGCUACCUUAAUAGCUUUCAGUGGUAUGUUGUCUGUUCAAUUCCGAAAAUAAGAUUUGUGGUAGGUUGACCUGUUGA